CCCCGUAGCUCAGUUGGUAGAGCAUGGUGUUUGCAACGCCAGGGUUGUGGGUUCGAUUCCCACGGGGG
rfam:Salmo salar isolate Sally breed double haploid chromosome ssa15, whole genome shotgun sequence.